rnacentral:rRNA from 1 species
CCUACGGGAGGCAGCAGUGGGGAAUAUUGCACAAUGGGGGAAACCCUGAUGCAGCGACGCCGCGUGAGUGAAGAAGUAUUUCGGUAUGUAAAGCUCUAUCAGCAGGGAAGAAAAUGACGGUACCUGAUUACGACGCCCCGGCUAACGACGUGCCAGCAGCCGCGGUAAUACGGAGCGGGCAAGCGUUAUCCGGAUUUACUGGGUGUAAAGGGAGCGUAGACGGCAGCACAAGUCUGGAGUGAAAUGCCGGGGCUUAACCCCGGAAAUGCUUGGGAAACUGUGCAGCUAGAGUGCAGGAGAGGUAAGUGGAAGUCCUAGUGUAGCGGUGAAAUGCGUAGAUAUUAGGAGGAACACCAGUGGCGAAGGCGGCUUACUGGACUGUAACUGACGUUGAGGCGCGAAAGCGUGGGGAGCAAACAGGAUUAGAUACCCUUGUAGUC